UGCCCAGACUCCUACGGGAGGCAGCAGUGGGGAAUAUUGCACAAUGGGGGAAACCCUGAUGCAGCGACGCCGCGUGAGUGAAGAAGUCUUUCGGUAUGUAAAGCUCUAUCAGCAGGGAAGAAAGAAAUGACGGUACCUGACUAAGAAGCCCCGGCUAACUACGUGCCAGCAGCCGCGGUAAUACGUAGGGGGCAAGCGUUAUCCGGAUUUACUGGGUGUAAAGGGAGCGUAGACGGCAUGGCAAGUCUGAAGUGAAAGCCCGGGGCUCAACACUGGAACUGCUUUGGAAACUGUGUGGCUAGAGUGCAGGAGAGGUAAGUGGAAUUCCUAGUGUAGCGGUGAAAUGCGUAGAUAUUAGGAGGAACACCAGUGGCGAAGGCGGCUUACUGGACUGUAACUGACGUUGAGGCUCGAAGGCGUGGGGAGCAAACAGGAUUAGAUACCCCUGUA
rnacentral:rRNA from 1 species